GAGCCAUGGAGGGGUCGCCUCAUUUACAUCUGCAGCAGGUCGACGGUAUUAGCGUCUUUAAAGAUGAAUGCAGUGAUAGUGUGUGUGCUAGUGAAUGUCUGUGAAUGGGUGGUUUGUUGUUACUGUGAGUGUUUUCUUCAUUUGUCUAAUCUACACGCUGAUCUUAUUCGAUCGGCUGGUGUCCGCCAGCUUGAAAUGAAGACUUCUCCAGCUGAUGGUCAUCCUUCAAUGCGCUGAACAGAAGCGUGCCUGACACAAAGUUCAGAGGUAUGAUCGAUCAGAUAUACUAGGCCAGGGUGGCUUGUAUCCUCACGGGUUUGAGGCAAACUUGGCCCAUGAGUAUAGAGCGAUUCUGAUCUGA